rnacentral:rRNA from 1 species
GUAGGGAAUCUUCGGCAAUGGACGAAAGUCUGACCGAGCAACGCCGCGUGAGUGAAGAAGGUUUUCGGAUCGUAAAACUCUGUUGGUAGAGAAGAACGUUGGUGAGAGUGGAAAGCUCAUCAAGUGACGGUAACUACCCAGAAAGGGACGGCUAACUACGUGCCAGCAGCCGCGGUAAUACGUAGGUCCCGAGCGUUGUCCGGAUUUAUUGGGCGUAAAGCGAGCGCAGGUGGUUUAUUAAGUCUGGUGUAAAAGGCAGUGGCUCAACCAUUGUAUGCAUUGGAAACUGGUAGACUUGAGUGCAGGAGAGGAGAGUGGAAUUCCAUGUGUAGCGGUGAAAUGCGUAGAUAUAUGGAGGAACACCGGUGGCGAAAGCGGCUCUCUGGCCUGUAACUGACACUGAGGCUCGAAAGCGUGGGGAGCAAACAGGAUUAGAAACCCCAGUAGUCC